AAAAAACAUUGUAUUUUGCAGGCAAUUUCCUUCUCGAACUUGUAUGCACCUGAGCAUUUGAUCAUCAACGUCAAGGUCGCGGAAAGGUGGGAGGGUCUCAUUGAGAAUGCUGGCUCAGUCUUUUUAGGACAAUGGACGCCGGAGAGCGUUGGUGAUUAUGCUAGCGGCACCAACCAUGUCCUUCACUAAACUCAUUUCUCAAAUACAUAACUGUGCAGUCCUUAACCGAGGAAGGUCUCAAAAACAUUGGACCGCAUGUGGCAAAGAUGGCAGAAGUUGAAGGGCUGGAGGCUCACAAGAGAGCUGUUACCCUUCGGCUGCAGGAAAUCGAAGCUGCCCUACCUGCUUAGCUGACAUAAUGCAGGUCCAAAAUGCUCUGGGAACUUAUAAUAUCAUAGGCUCCUCCAUUUGAGUUUUUUGAGUUGGUACGUUGAAGCACCAACUUAUCUCAGUCAAUGUUUGGGUUUCUGAACUGAGCAGGUUGUUUCUUGAAGACCUUUGCCAUUUUGCAUCAUUCAUAAUCUGCUAAAAGGUCAAGCUGUUGGGGGUCGUCUUUCUUCAGUGCCCACAAGCAGCUCAAAGUGGGGUGUGCAUAAAACAGUCAGCUCAUUUUUACGUGCAAAAACUACAUCCUCAGAUACAUUCAUCAUCAGGUUUAUGCUUGCAGAACCUAAUUAAGUUGUGUUCUCACUGUUGUGCAACAUUUUGAAGUUCACAAUCGUUUUUCCCAACGAAUAAAUGGAAAGACUAGCCAAUAACCAAAUGGAUAGGGUAUUGCUGUUCGUAUUCAUAUCAUCUUAUGUGGCAGUAGACAUGCUGUUGAACGUGUCACCACUGGUAUUUGCUACGUAAGCCAUCCUUUCAUUUUACUGUUCUAAUAUGCAAGAAACUUUUUUCUGGUUGAUAUGCAACAUUGUUGAUUGUUUUGGUCUAAA